GGCGUGCUUAACACAUGCAAGUCGAACGGAAAGGCCCUGCUUUUGUGGGGUGCUCGAGUGGCGAACGGGUGAGUAACACGUGAGUAACCUGCCCUUGACUUUGGGAUAACUUCAGGAAACUGGGGCUAAUACCGGAUAGGAGCUCCUGCUGCAUGGUGGGGGUUGGAAAGUUUCGGCGGUUGGGGAUGGACUCGCGGCUUAUCAGCUUGUUGGUGGGGUAGUGGCUUACCAAGGCUUUGACGGGUAGCCGGCCUGAGAGGGUGACCGGCCACAUUGGGACUGAGAUACGGCCCAGACUCCUACGGGAGGCAGCAGUGGGGAAUAUUGCACAAUGGGCGGAAGCCUGAUGCAGCAACGCCGCGUGCGGGAUGACGGCCUUCGGGUUGUAAACCGCUUUCGCCUGUGACGAAGCGUGAGUGACGGUAAUGGGUAAAGAAGCACCGGCUAACUACGUGCCAGCAGCCGCGGUGAUACGUAGGGUGCGAGCGUUGUCCGGAUUUAUUGGGCGUAAAGGGCUCGUAGGUGGUUGAUCGCGUCGGAAGUGUAAUCUUGGGGCUUAACCCUGAGCGUGCUUUCGAUACGGGUUGACUUGAGGAAGGUAGGGGAGAAUGGAAUUCCUGGUGGAGCGGUGGAAUGCGCAGAUAUCAGGAGGAACACCAGUGGCGAAGGCGGUUCUCUGGGCCUUUCCUGACGCUGAGGAGCGAAAGCGUGGGGAGCGAACAGGCUUAGAUACCCUGGUAGUCCACGCUGUAAACGGUGGGUACUAGGUGUGGGGUCCAUUCCACGGGUUCCGUGCCGUAGCUAACGCUUUAAGUACCCCGCCUGGGGAGUACGGCCGCAAGGCUAAAACUCAAAGGAAUUGACGGGGCCCCGCACAAGCGGCGGAGCAUGCGGAUUAAUUCGAUGCAACGCGUAGAACCUUACCUGGGUUUGACAUGGAUCGGGAGUGCUCAGAGAUGGGUGUGCCUCUUUUGGGGUCGGUUCACAGGUGGUGCAUGGCUGUCGUCAGCUCGUGUCGUGAGAUGUUGGGUUAAGUCCCGCAACGAGCGCAACCCUUGUUCACUGUUGCCAGCGCGUUAUGGUGGGGACUCAGUGGAGACCGCCGGGGUCAACUCGGAGGAAGGUGGGGAUGACGUCAAGUCAUCAUGCCCCUUAUGUCCAGGGCUUCACGCAUGCUACAAUGGCUGGUACAGAGAGUGGCGAGCCUGUGAGGGUGAGCGAAUCUCGGAAAGCCGGUCUCAGUUCGGAUUGGGGUCUGCAACUCGACCUCAUGAAGUCGGAGUCGCUAGUAAUCGCAGAUCAGCAACGCUGCGGUGAAUACGUUCCCGGGGCUUGUACACACCGCCCGUCAAGUCAUGAAAGUUGGUAACACCCGAAGCCGGUGGCCUAACCGUUGUGGGGGAGCCGUCGAAGGUGGGACUGGUGAUUAGGACUAAGA
rnacentral:rRNA from 1 species